UCCUCAACCCUAGCCGCCACCCCCCAUCUCCUCUUCUCCAAGUGUCGUUCUUCCUCGUCGGAUCUUCUUCGUGUGGGUGCAAGUUUCAAUUGGAGAAUUGGUGGGAGGAAGGAAGGAGGAAAAAGGUGGAACUCAAGGUGGUGGACUUCCAAAUCGUACUUAGGGAUUUGCCCAAACUUCCGGCAAAGGCAAGUAAAUACAGUGGUGGUUGCUACCGUUUGGUUUGCAUCCUAUUCCCUGUCAUUGAGUAUGCAUAAGUUUUAAUUAUGUUAAUCAUUGAAUUCUAUGAUGAAGUUUAUUUGUUUGGAAGUAUUAAUUCUCAAUUGUCUAAUAUUGUGGAUGAUCAUAAUUUGGUAAUGAUAUAUGUGGUUGAUUCCCAUCUUGGAUGAAGUUGAAGUAUCUUUUUGAAUCACGUUAUAGGAAGUGUUGUAGGCAUGACAUGCACAUCGCAUCAUCCAUCUUGCAUUUUGAAGUUAUGUCGUGAUCUUAUGGUCCGACCGUACCGGUACACUUUUAGCAUCGUACGUUGCCCGAGGAGGGGUACGAUGCGGCUUCAUAUCCUUAGAGGUAUGAAGGCAGAAGUCAUCCUUGCAUUUGCAGACAUUUGCACUCAUGAGGUAUAUAUGAAGUGUGACAUUACUAUGUUACUAUUGUGGUUUCUACCUGCGAGGUGUGGUAACUAGGUGUGUUGUACAUUGUAUUCGUGCUGCACCUACGUAAUAAGGAGGUUGUAAAAUCAAAUGGUGGUAAAACAAUGUUCUUAUGUGGUUAAACAGUUUGUUAUUAUUUUGCUUGCUGAGAUGUGUCAUCUCACUCUUGCAUUACUCAAUGCAGGUACUUGAUACAUGUUGGGAAUGAGGGGAGUAGCAUCACGUCCACUUUCACUCUCAUAAUAAUGCUGCCAGGCGCAGCCAGGAUAUAAUUAGAAACUUGUGUCAAAGGAUGUUUGUUUUUCUUAACUAGUCGUGCGCGCUGGUUAAUUCAGCUCUUGUCGUAUGUUUAACUUCUUGUUGCUAGCCGAUUAAUUUUACUUAGUAUGUUUUUUUGUCAUGAUAUAUGUUUAUACACUGUUGCCCCCCCCCCAUUUAUGCAAUUUUGCAAGGGAGAUGCUGCCGAAAUUUUAUAUACGGAUGUUAGAAGUGUAGUUCAGUAGCAUUCCGGGGUGUUUGUGGAUCCCGGGGUGUUACAGUUGGUAUCAAAGCAUAGACUUUAGAUUCUACGCAAUUUGAAGAUAAAUUUGACACACUUGCACAUAUAGGAAGGGUAUGGGUUCGUAUAUCUUUCAUAUUAGUAUUUUAUUGUAUAGAUGACUAGAAUUCCCUUACCCCGAAUCCCUUUAUGGUUUGAUGGGGUAUGUCGUUAACGACUUAAUGUUUGAUAUGAUAUGUUACUUCUAAUUAAUAUUGGGUUCUUGAUGUGGUUGUUAUUGAAGUUAUUAUGCAAGUGAAGCUACUAAUGUACUUGUUUUGUAUACAUAUCGUCGUGAUGUUUUUUUAUGCGAUGUUUUUCAAAUCUUUGAGCUAUUACUAUCAUAUAUUUCUAUAUGCUUGAUUGUGGUUGUUUUUUUUAAUGGAUUUUUUGGGGUUCUAGUACUUGUAGGACCGAUUGUUUAUUGAGUCUGUGUAUAGUGGGUCUAAUCCGGCUUGGUGUGGUGUGAAAACACUAUAUAAUGUAGUUUUAUCAUGUUGUUGGGUCUGAUUGAAUGUUGGGCUACAACCCAACUUAUCAAUGUAAUAUUUCCAUGGAGGCAAUGCUUUGCGCCUCACUUUUUUUAGGAUAGUGUGGCUACUUGCUAACUUGAUCUUAGUAUAAAAUUGGUUUGUCUCUAAAGAGCAGAGGCAAUGUUGUAAUGUCUAUGAAAUCUUUAGACUGGUAGAACUUGAGUGAAUUUGUGAGAUGACGUAGAUUGAUAAGUCCAACCAUGUCUACCUGCUGGGUUUUCUUAUUAUGUGCAACCUUAUUUUUAACAUUAAAUAGGGUGGUUUCAAGUGGAUUUUAUGUCAUGCAUGUUUUCCUUCUAUGGCUUGUUUCAAUAGCCAUAAAGGCUAUGCAUAAUUUUUAGUUGUUGCAGGCUAGUCAUGUGGGAGAUAUUGACAACCCAUUUUAUAUUUUUUUAUUUUUAUUUGCCAACAUUGUACUACUUUGAAUGCAUCCUGUGAUAUCACGAGGUACAAAUUGUUCUAGUGCAGUAAUAGUAGGUUUUGUUGUAUGUGAGGUUAAUCAAGAUAGUUUGGUUAUGUGGAUUGUCUUAUUGACGUCCAAUUACUCCUGUUGAGCAUAGUAUCAUGUUAUUAUUUUAGUAUUGAAAGUAAUAUUUAUGAAGCUUUUGCAUGAGUCUGUGUCAAGAAGUACAUUAGUUUUUCUUGUUGUUAUCCCUCCAUUGCUUUAUGAGUGUUGCAAAUUUUAUCUUUUUUGAGAGGAGAAAAAGACGUUAUAUGACAUGAGCACCAUUUGCUUCACGUCAACAGAAUAGUUGUGGAGGUCUCUAGUAGUUGAAUUCUAGUGUAAUAACAACCAUGUUUUAUAGUGCUAGAGACGGGUAUGUCAGGUGUUUCAUACAUUGUCGCUACGUGGAUAUUUGACCUUAGUGGCAUUAACAAACGAGGUUGUUGAAUUCGUUGAUUGUUAUGCUUAGUGUUCUAACCUAUUAGGUAAAGUGUUGUUUAAAGACUUUGGGGAGUUGCAUCCCCAUUUGGUAGUGGGAAAUCCUAGUGUUGAUUGCACCUGCCAAUGCCUUGGGUUUCAUUUUAUAUUGUUUUUUUAUUGUGGUUAAGGUGUUGCUUGGUUUUGGGAGUCAUUUUAAAUUAGUUGGAGGCUGAAUCAGGCUUCACUUAUCUAGAAUGUUUUGUAGUAGGUUUCUUCAUGUUUGCAUAUGAUGCUUAAUCACCCAGUUUGGUUUAAACAUUUGAGAGUUAUGGGUUUCCUAUAGCAGCCUUAAUUUUGUACGGAAGAAUAGACCUUGAAGAUGGUAUAAUUUGGUCUUUGUUGGAUUGUGAAAGUUUUAGUAAUUUCAUGAUCUUUCCAAAGAGUAUUGGUUUGUAAUUUUCAUUGUAUAUAAUUGGAGUUAGGCUGCUCUGAAGUUGUUGCACCGUUGUGUCUGAACUUUAGGUGUCGUUAUAACCACCAAUAAAUCGACCGUGUUUUGAUAGUUUCAUAGCCCAAAUUUCGGAAUUCUCUUUAAGCAAAACUUUAGUUCUUCUCAGUACCUUUUAAAUGGGUAUUUACUUGUAAUUGUCUGUUAAAUAGAUUGGGAGAGGUGGUUGUCCGGUUAUAAGUCGAAUCUCCAAUGUGCAGUAUCUCGGGCUGAGUUUAGUUGUAGGUCAUGCAGAGUUGAGGGCUAUAAAGAUAAAUUCGGGUGCAACUUUAUUGCAAAAGUCGUGGACAAUUUUCAAACUUUUCCAAUGCGUGUUCGUUGUAGUUUUAAGUUGAGUAUAGGAGGAGUUAUAGGUUUUUGAAUUUUAGUUGUCCAUUGUUUCCAUCCUAUCAGUUUUGCAACAAAAGAGUUGCAUUAUUUAUCGGUUUGAAAACCAAUUUCGAGACACUCAUUAUAAUAAAAGUUUUACAGAAUGUUAUAAUCUUUUCAAUGGGCUUAUAUUUGCAAAAUUUUGUUAAGCUGCAGGGAGUUAUGAUAUUUUGAAUUUAUGUGUCAUGUUUCGUCAGUUUCUGGUGGCAGAUCAUGUAUGUCGCCUUACAAGUCAAAUUAAAAAUGGUAGAUGAAAAAAAAUUGUUGUUUAUCCUUUGAAUACGAAAGUUGUAGAUCAUGAAGUUUAGAUGAUUUUACAAUAUUUCAUUGUUACCAUUGCUUUUAUAGUGAGAGGUAGAAAAAAAUGAACAUUUGUGCUAUUGAUUGUCAAUUUUCUAUUUAGUGAUUUUUUUCAUGGGAGUUUGGUUUAGUUGUGGUGAGCUCUUUCGCAAUCCAUGUUAAUUAAGUUGUAUGAUGGGAGGGAAUAGACGUAGUGAUUGGGAUGGUUAUCUUGUUUAUGUAUAUGUGGAGCGUGGGCUGAAACACAGAGAUAGCAAGGAACGUUUGAAUAGGCUAGUACGUAUUGUUGUGAAGCCACAUUUUCUUAUAUUGGCGUGAUUGCGUAAGUAUGAAAUAGUUACGUCAUGAGAAGUCUAGGUUGAGAUGCAAUUUGUCUGAGUUAUUCGAUAGAUAUAUAUAUAUGUAUAGUAUAAUUAAAAAAAAGAGUUCCUAUAUGGGAUGAUAUAAUGUAUAGAAUGUGCUUGGAUGAAUAUGUGGGCAGGCCUAACAUGCUUAAACAGAUUCCUGUUUGCAUGAUGUGAGAUUAGGCUUAAAUGGUUUAAAAAGUUAUCAUAUUGCUUCUAUACUUAUAUUUGUUCUAAGUAUCUCGUAAUGAAGAACCUAAAGUUAUUAGUCUUUCGAUGAACGCUUAAUCUUAGAAGAGUAAUGAACCUGAAUAAAAUCUAUUGCUUGUUGUUGGGACUGCAUGACCAGUUUUAGUUAUGCAGCUAGUUCAAUGAAGUAAACCAUCUUUUCUGUAGAGAUGUUAUAUAUAAAAGUUGUAGCCGACUUCUUUAUCUUACUUGUGUAAAAAUUUCAUGACCAUAGGUCUAGUAGUUUGAGAGUUAUGAUUUUCUCAAGUCCAGUCUUGGAAUCUGUGCAGAUUCUGUAUAGAUUUCGAAACUGACCUUGUUUGCCCAAUUUAAACUUCGAAUAACUUAUUAUAAAUUAUAAAGAAGUUGUAGUAUCUUUCUUAAUAUUUUCAACAAAUUUUGGAUCAUCCUUUUUGGAGAUCUAUAAGUAAAGUUACAGCUGUUUUAAGAGUGAUCUCUGAAUCUGUCUAAAUUUGGACAGCAGAGCCUUUCUCAUGUCUUUUGACCUUGAUAUGCAUUGAAUUAACCUGAUAUGUUUAUAAAUGAACUAUAGACAAUUCUACUAGCUUUCUAAAAAGUCUAGGAGCACCUGAAUUGGAUAACUGAGACUCCAAUUAUGGAUUUUUUAAUUUGAGUAGUUGAACUCUGUCCAAGUCUGGAUAGAAUUUACGUUUAGUAUUGUUUGACCUUUCUAAGUGUCAAAUCUUGCUGUGAAGAUAAUACCAAGGGUAUAGUGGACUUUAUAAGCUUUCCAUAAAGUCCUAGUUUAUUAUUUUUGGAUGCUUAUUUUAUGAGUUAUGAACAAAACAAUUAACCGUUGUGCUGCUAUCCAGAAAUAUGCAAGCAUUAAGUUGCUCUCUUGAAGUUGCUCUUGUUUGGCUAAGUUUGUUUUAGGCUAUAGGAACACUAUAUGCAGUGCAUUCAUAUAUACAUUCCUUGAAGUACUUGCAUAUGUCAAUGAUUGAUUUGGUGCCAGGAAAGCUUUGUCCGAGGUAUAUAGGACCGUCUACUAUCUUAGCCGAGUUGGCAGCUGGGCUUAACACAUGCAAUUGUCAGAAUCUAUGAUCAGAGUACACCAUGUAUUCCAUGUCUUUAUGUGGAGGAAGUAUUUGCGGAAUCCAGACCAUCAAAUCGAGCUAGAGCUGAUUCCUGUGUAGCAAGACCAGACUCUAGAGUGUCGUCUACUGCAUAUCUUAGAAUCCUAGGAGCUUGAGGAGCUGAUGCGGUAGAAGUACCCGAACUUUUCUUUAUGUGUGAGUUUUGUUGGUUCAUUAUUCUUUCCUUUGUCGUUCCGAUAGAAGCAUCGGAAUUCGAGGUCGAAUUCUUUUUAAGGGGGGUAGAGUGUGAUACCCAAUUUUCAAAAAGAAGAGAAAUUGAAGUUUACUCUUUUUUUCUUUGUUUUCUCUUGCGGGUCCCGUGCUAUGGGGGGUUUGGAAUUUUAGGAGGUAAACAUCUGUAAAACAGUAAAAUUUAUGUUUGAUGUGUGCGCGGGGGUCGAGAGCUCUGGCGUAGGAAUGGUUUUGGGCCGUUGAUCGCGAUCCGGCGGUGGGAAGCCCACUUCCCCCCCCCCCCCCCAAAAAAACCCUAGCCGCCCCCUCUCUUAAGGCCCCUUGACGGCAGCCGCCUCCCCCUUUCCCUCCUUUGGCCGUCACCCUCUUCCCUCUUCCCUCUUCUCUCUUCCCCAAGUGCUGCAGCCGCCCCCUCUCCAUUCUCAAGUUUUUUGCAGCAGCCAUCUUCUCAACCCUAGCCGCCACCCCCAUCUCCUCUUCUCCAAGUGUCGUUCUUCCUCGUCGGAUCUUCUUCGUGUGGGUGCAAGUUUCAAUUGGAGAAUUGGUGGGAGGAAGGAAGGAGGAAAAAGGUGGAACUCAAGGUGGUGGACUUCCGGAUCGUACUUAGGGAUUUGCCCAAACUUCCGGUAAAGGCAAGUAAAUACAGUGGUGGUUGCUACCGUUUGGUUUGCAUCCUAUUCCCUGUCAUUGAGUAUGCAUAAGUUUUAAUUAUGUUAAUCAUUGAAUUCUAUGAUGAAGUUUAUUUGUUUGAAAGUAUUAAUUCUCAAUUGUCUAAUAUUGUGGAUGAUCAUAAUUUGGUAAUGAUAUAUGUGGUUGAUUCCCAUCUUGGAUGAAGUUGAAGUAUCUUUUUGAAUCACGUUAUAGGAAGUGUUGUAGGCAUGACAUGCACAUCGCAUCAUCCAUCUUGCAUUUUGAAGUUAUGUCGUGAUCUUAUGGUCCGACCGUAUUGGUACACUUUUAGCAUCGUAUGUUGCCCGAGGAGGGGUACGAUGCGGCUUCAUAUCCUUAGAGGUAUGAAGGCAGAAGUCAUCCUUGCAUUUGCAGACAUUUGCACUCAUGAGGUAUAUAUGAAGUGUGACAUUACUAUGUUACUAUUGUGGUUUCUACCUGCGAGGUGUGGUAACUAGGUGUGUUGUACAUUGUAUUCGUGCUGCACCUACGUAAUAAGGAGGUUGUAAAAUCAAAUGGUGGUAAAACAAUGUUCUUAUGUGGUUAAACAGUUUGUUAUUAUUUUGCUUGCUGAGAUGUGUCAUCUCACUCUUGCAUUACUCAAUGCAGGUACUUGAUACAUGUUGGGAAUGAGGGGAGUAGCAGCACGUCCACUUUCACUCUCAUAAUAAUGCUGCCAGGCG
rnacentral:lncRNA from 1 species